UACAGAGGUCUCAAGCGUUGUUCGGAUUCAUUGGGCGUAAAGGGUGCGUAGGUGGCGGGGUAAGUCAGGUGUGAAAUUUCGGAGCUUAACUCCGAAACUGCAUUUGAUACUGCCUUGCUUGAGGACUGGAGAGGAGACUGGAAUUCACGGUGUAGCAGUGAAAUGCGUAGAUAUCGAGAGGAACACCAGUGGCGAAGGCGAGUCUCUGGACACUUCCUGACGCUGAGGCACGAAAGCCAGGGGAGCAAACGGG
rnacentral:rRNA from 1 species